UACGUAGGCAGCAAGCGUUGUUCGGAGUUACUGGGCGUAAAGGGUGUGUAGGCGGUUCUUUAAGUUUGGGGUGAAAUCUCCCGGCUCAACUGGGAGGGUGCGCCGAAUACUGAGGGACUAGAGUACGGGAGAGGAAAGUGGAAUUCCUGGUGUAGCGGUGAAAUGCGUAGAUAUCAGGAGGAACACCGGUGGUGUAGACGGCUUUCUGGACCGUAACUGACGCUGAGACACGAAAGCGUGGGGAGCGAACAGG
rnacentral:rRNA from 1 species